AACGAACGCUGGCGGCAUGCCUAACACAUGCAAGUCGAACGAGACCUUCGGGUCUAGGGGCGCACGGGUGCGUAACGCGUGGGAACCUGCCCUUAGGUUCGGAAUAACUCCCCGAAAGGGGUGCUAAUACCGGAUAAUGUCUUCGGACCAAAGAUUUAUCGCCUGUGGAUGGGCCCGCGUUGGAUUAGCUAGUUGGUAGGGUAAAAGCCUACCAAGGCGACGAUCCAUAGCUGGUCUGAGAGGAUGAUCAGCCACACUGGGACUGAGACACGGCCCAGACUCCUACGGGAGGCAGCAGUGGGGAAUAUUGGACAAUGGGCGAAAGCCUGAUCCAGCAAUGCCGCGUGAGUGAUGAAGGCCUUAGGGUUGUAAAGCUCUUUUACCCGGGAUGAUAAUGACAGUACCGGGAGAAUAAGCUCCGGCUAACUCCGUG
rnacentral:rRNA from 1 species